UGUACAUUAGUAAAUAGUUUGGUGAACACUGUUAGAAAUGUUGAGAAUCUGAACUUUGCCACGAAUUGCAUUGAAGAGGAUAGGGAGUGAAUCUUGUUAGCAUAUUCUGGUUGUUUGUA